AACGGCGAGUGAAGCGGCAAGAGCUCAAAUUUGAAAUCUGGCCUCCCCCGGGGGCCCGAGUUGUAAUUUGCAGAGGAUGCUUCGGGUGCGGCCGCCGUCUAAGUUCCUUGGAACAGGACGUCAGAGAGGGUGAGAAUCCCGUCUUGGGCGGGCGGUCCGCGCCCGUGUGAAGCUCCUUCGACGAGUCGAGUUGUUUGGGAAUGCAGCUCUAAGCGGGUGGUAAAUUUCAUCUAAAGCUAAAUAUUGGCCGGAGACCGAUAGCGCACAAGUAGAGUGAUCGAAAGGUUAAAAGCACCUUGAAAAGGGAGUUAAACAGCACGUGAAAUUGUUGAAAGGGAAGCGCUUGCGGCCAGACUCGGGGGCGGGGUUCAGCGGGUGCUCGUCGCCCGUGUAUUCCUCGUUUCCCGGGCCAGCAUCAGUUUCGACGGCCGGUCAAAGGCCCCCGGAAUGUGUCGUCUCUCGGGACGUCUUAUAGCCGGGGGUGCAAUGCGGCCCGUCGGGACUGAGGAACGCGCUCCGGCUCGGAUGCUGGCGUAAUGGCCGUAAGCGGCCCGUCUUGAAACACGGACCAAGGAGUCUAACAUCCACGCGAGUGUUCGGGUGUCAAACCCGUGCGCGCAGUGAAAGCGAACGGAGGUGGGAGCCUUAGGGCGCACCAUCGACCGAUCCUGAAGUCUUCGGAUGGAUUUGAGUAGGAGCGUGGCCGUUGGGACCCGAAAGAUGGUGAACUAUGCCUGAAUAGGGUGAAGCCAGAGGAAACUCUGGUGGAGGCUCGCAGCGGUUCUGACGUGCAAAUCGAUCGUCAAAUUU
rnacentral:rRNA from 1 species